UAAGACUGGGAUAACUCCGGGAAACCGGGGCUAAUACCGGAUAACAUUUUGAACCGCAUGGUUCGAAAUUGAAAGGCGGCUUCGGCUGUCACUUAUGGAUGGACCCGCGUCGCAUUAGCUAGUUGGUGAGGUAACGGCUCACCAAGGCAACGAUGCGUAGCCGACCUGAGAGGGUGAUCGGCCACACUGGGACUGAGACACGGCCCAGACUCCUACGGGAGGCAGCAGUAGGGAAUCUUCCGCAAUGGACGAAAGUCUGACGGAGCAACGCCGCGUGAGUGAUGAAGGCUUUCGGGUCGUAAAACUCUGUUGUUAGGGAAGAACAAGUGCUAGUUGAAUAAGCUGGCACCUUGACGGUACCUAACCAGAAAGCCACGGCUAACUACGUGCCAGCAGCCGCGGUAAUACGUAGGUGGCAAGCGUUAUCCGGAAUUAUUGGGCGUAAAGCGCGCGCAGGUGGUUUCUUAAGUCUGAUGUGAAAGCCCACGGCUCAACCGUGGAGGGUCAUUGGAAACUGGGAGACUUGAGUGCAGAAGAGGAAAGUGGAAUUCCAUGUGUAGCGGUGAAAUGCGUAGAGAUAUGGAGGAACACCAGUGGCGAACGCGACUUUCUGGUCUGUAACUGACACUGAGGCGCGAAAGCGUGGGGA
rnacentral:rRNA from 2 species